AUUGAACGCUGGCGGCAGGCCUAACACAUGCAAGUCGAGUGAGCGGCGGACGGGUGAGUAAUGUAUGGGGACUGCCCGAUAGAGGGGGAUAACUACUGGAAACGGUGGCUAAUACCGCAUACUAUCGGAUAACCCAUAUGGGAUUAGCUAGUGGGUGGGGUAAAGGCUCACCUAGGCGACGAUGCCUAGCUGGUCUGAGAGGGUGAUCAGCCACACUGGGACUGAGACACGGCCCAGACUCCUACGGAGGCAGCAGUGGGGAAUAUUGGGCAAUGGGCGAAAGCCUGAUGCAGCCAUGCCGCGUGAAUGAAGAAGGCCUUAGGAUUGUAAAGUUCUGUUGUCAGGGAAGCGUUACCCACAGAGGAAGCACCGGCUAACUCCGUGCCAGCAGCCGCGGUAAUUC
rnacentral:rRNA from 1 species